GUAGUCAUAUGCUUGUCUCAAAGAUUAAGCCAUGCAUGUCUAAGUAUAAGCAAUUAUACCGUGAAACUGCGAAUGGCUCAUUAAAUCAGUUAUCGUUUAUUUGAUAGUACCUUACUACUUGGAUAACCGUGGUAAUUCUAGAGCUAAUACAUGCUGAAAACCCCAACUUCGGGAGGGGUGUAUUUAUUAGAUAAAAAACCAACGCCCUUCGGGGCUUCUUGGUGAUUCAUGAUAACUUCACGGAUCGCAUGGCCUUGCGCCGGCGACGGUUCAUUCAAAUUUCUGCCCUAUCAACUUUCGAUGGUAAGGUAUUGGCUUACCAUGGUUUCAACGGGUAACGGGGAAUUAGGGUUCGAUUCCGGAGAGGGAGCCUGAGAAACGGCUACCACAUCCAAGGAAGGCAGCAGGCGCGCAAAUUACCCAAUCCCGACACGGGGAGGUAGUGACAAUAAAUACUGAUACAGGGCUCUUUUGGGUCUUGUAAUUGGAAUGAGUACAAUUUAAAUCCCUUAACGAGGAACAAUGGAGGGCAAGUCUGGUGCCAGCAGCC
rnacentral:rRNA from 1 species